rnacentral:rRNA from 1 species
GUGCCAGCAGCCGCGGUAAUACGGAGGGUGCAAGGCGGUUAACUCGAAUCACUGGGCGUAAAGGGUGCGUAGGCUGGCUCCUAAGUCAGAUGUUGAAAUCCCAAUGGCUCAAACCAUUGAACUGCAUUUGAAACUGGGAGCCUAGAGUUCAGAAGGGGCAGAUGGAAUUAGUGGUGUAGGGGUAAAAUCCGUAGAUAUCACUAGGAAUAUCAAAAGCGAAGGCGAUCUGCUGGGAUGAUACUGACGCUGAGGCACGAAAGCGUGGGGAGCAAACAGGAUUAGAUACCCUGGUAGUCCACGCCCUAAACGAUGAAUGCUAGUCGUCGGGAAGCUCGUCUUUUCGGUGACGCACUUAACAGAUUAAGCAUUCCGCCUGGGGAGUACGGUCGCAAGAUUAAAACUCAAAGGAAUAGACGGGGACCCGCACAAGUGGUGGAGCAUGUGGUUUAAUUCGAAGAUACACGAAGAACCUUACCUGGCCUUGACAUCCCAAGAACUUUCCAGAGAUGGAUUGGUGCUAGCUUGCUAGAACUUGGUGACAGGUGCUGCACGGCUGUCGUCAGCUCGUGUCGUGAGAUGUUGGGUUAAGUCCCGCAACGAGCGCAACCCUCGUCCUUAGUUGCUAACAGUUCGGCUGAGCACUCUAAGGAGACUGCCUCCGUAAGGAGGAGGAAGGUGAGGACGACGUCAAGUCAUCAUGGCCCUUACGGCCAGGGCUACACACGUGCUACAAUGGGGCGUACAGAGAGCUGCAAUACCGCGAGGUGGAGCCAAUCUCUUAAAGCGUCUCUCAGUUCGGAUUGUUCUCUGCAACUCGAGAACAUGAAGCUGGAAUCACUAGUAAUCGCAGAUCAGCUAUGCUGCGGUGAAUACGUUCCCGGGUCUUGUACUCACCGCCCGUCACACCAUGGGAGUUGAUUUCACCCGAAAUCGGGAUGCCAAACUGGCUACCGCUUACGGUGGAAUUAGCGACUGGGGUGAAGUCGUAACAAGGUAACC